rnacentral:rRNA from 1 species
UUCGGGGUGAUUUGUUGGACGCUAGCGGCGGAUGGGUGAGUAACACGUGGGCAAUCUGCCCUAAAGACUGGGAUACCACUUGGAAACAGGUGCUAAUACCGGAUAACAACAUGAAUCGCAUGAUUCAAGUUUGAAAGGCGGCGCAAGCUGUCACUUUAGGAUGAGCCCGCGGCGCAUUAGCUAGUUGGUGGGGUAAAGGCCUACCAAGGCAAUGAUGCGUAGCCGAGUUGAGAGACUGAUCGGCCACAUUGGGACUGAGACACGGCCCAAACUCCUACGGGAGGCAGCAGUAGGGAAUCUUCCACAAUGGACGCAAGUCUGAUGGAGCAACGCCGCGUGAGUGAAGAAGGUCUUCGGAUCGUAAAGCUCUGUUGUUGGUGAAGAAGGAUAGAGGCAGUAACUGGUCUUUAUUUGACGGUAAUCAACCAGAAAGUCACGGCUAACUACGUGCCAGCAGCCGCGGUAAUACGUAGGUGGCAAGCGUUGUCCGGAUUUAUUGGGCGUAAAGCGAGCGCAGGCGGAAUGAUAAGUCUGAUGUGAAAGCCCACGGCUCAACCGUGGAACUGCAUCGGAAACUGUCAUUCUUGAGUGCAGAAGAGGAGAGUGGAACUCCAUGUGUAGCGGUGGAAUGCGUAGAUAUAUGGAAGAACACCAGUGGCG